UUCACCCUCCCAAACAGAUUCCUAGUCCAAAGUUCCCACAUAUUAACUAUUUAUUUAAAUGUAAAUGUCAUACUUGAAGUUUGAAAUCUACAAGAUAAGUCUAAGAUAACAUCAUUUCCUUAUUUUUUUUAGUUGUCGUUGGACAAGCAAAAUAAAUCCAAGACAUGUUUUUUUUUUUUAAUCAUUGAAACCAACUGUAUACUCCAUAUCUCCUCCAUUACUCAUUAAAUUAACACCAUAACUCCUCUGCGUACAAAACAGAGAUUGAGAAUACUCUUGAAUUAGUAGACCAAUCAUACUAUCCGGUUCCCCACAACCCAAUUCCCUCUCGGUCUCUCCCGAGUCCGGUCGUCGGUGUCACUCUGGCCGGCUACCGUAGGUGGAUUCUUUACCGGUGAACACCCACACCCCUAAUCUAGAGAGAAACAGAGAGAGAGACCGAUGAGAGAGAAAGGAGGGCUGGCCUCCUCCUCGCUUGCAACGGCUCCGGCACGCCGUUGAUGUGGAUGAUGAAUGAUGAUGAUUGACGGUGAAGGUGGUGGUGCGUCGGAGCCGGCAACGAUCAACGACAGCACAAUACGGCGCUCCAGUGGCCGUGAGCAGGGCGAAGGUACCUUCCGAUGGGUUUUUUUUCAUUUCAGGUGGGGGUUCCUGCCGAUACGGACGAUGAUGUUGAUGAUGACUCACGGUGCUGGAGUCACACCGGCACGACGACGGUGAUGGUGGUGACCAACUCCGGUGAGUGCAUCAUUGUAUUAUUAUAUUUUUUUUUUCAUUUUUUCGUUUCGGGUCGACAUAUCGGUUCCUCACCGUGCUAAUCAUAUUUUAUUUUCUUCGGUGGAUCUUUGUAAUUUCGGUGAUGCCUUGGGUGGUUACUGGGGCCGGCACACGACUGUAGCUGACGCCAGCAGCGGUGGCGGCGGGGAGUGGUUAAUCAUGUUCAUCUUUCUUCUUUCUUCUGGAUCGAGUGAGUUCGGGUCUUAUUUCAGUUCGAUUUCGGAGCAGAGUGGGUCUCCGUUCAGGAUCGGACUCGAGUCAACCCAGUCAACACAACUGGUUGACUGAUCAAAGAUGGUCAAACGGGUCAGACUCGGUCAAGAACAGUCAACUCUGGUCAAAACAGUCAACACCGGGUCAAAGUUAGUCAAUGCGGUUCGACGAAACAGCACGAAGAAAUGGAAUGCUUUAGUUGCACGCUAGCUAAAUACAUGAUCUUCGAACGGCACUACGGAAUCACGCUAGGCUAGCUUUGCACAUGAAUGUCAAGGUGGCAUUUUUUCGAAACUAUGGAACGGUUGGAAUAGGAGAACCCACAGGAUUUCGAGUACUUAGCAGGCGUUCAAUUUCUAGAAGUCUUAGCUUAUUUGCUUCCGCUGUGCAAUGAAGAUACCGGUCCAGUCACGCCAAGCUCUGAUAUUUCGGGGUGUGACACUAAAUCCAAGUUAAUUAUAGUGAUUGUAUCUUAGAUAUAGUACUUAGGUUAUUUGUGUAACUAAAGGGUAAUUCUAUCG